AAUGCGCAUGACCUCUGUAUGACCUCUGGAGCAUCAGAUGGAACAGAAUGUGCACACAUGCUUUUUUUUUUAGACAUUGCCUUUUCCUAACCGGCAGCCUGUGCAGACGCUUCCUGAGAUUGAGGCAAGGAGGUGUUACAGUAAGGAAGACUUCUGAGGAUUAGCACACAGGAUGUCUCAGUAGAAUACCCACCAAAGGCUGGCACACACACUGCCCAAUGGCAGCCUGCCAACAGGCCAGAUCUGGCAAGGAGGAAAGGGACAGUGUACGUCCUAUAUGCUCAGUCAAGCUUUUAAUUGACCGUUUGAAUGACCACAAAUGAGCAGAGAGAGCGGGGAGGGGGGCAUUUUUCAAGGCAGUCUCCUAUUUUUCAGUCAUUUCAAUUGUGUGUGCGUGUGUGUCUAUAUAUCUAUCUCACUCACACCCACACCCAUCUUUAUAAUCAGACCAAAAAACAGACCAUAAUCCUUUGUUGCAAGGUUGGACCAUUCAUCCAUGAACACCAACCAUCCCACAAUGUGCCUGAAGAUUAUCUAGUAAAACAGGAAAAAAAGAGGUAUGCAAACACUAGACAAUUGGCAGAGAACUCAAGAAAUCUACAGGACAGAAAACAGAAUUCAACAACAUGCAGCACUGCAAGCAUCACAGACUCCCCCCGCCCCACUAAAGAGCACGUUUUUAGUCCUCAUGACCAAGGAUAAAAGUAUAACCAUCUGUGGGCAGUAAUCAAUGUAUCUGGAAAACUAAGGUCCUGACACUUCGAUUUUCUGCACGCACACACAAAUAUAAAGACCAAAAAUCUAAAAUGUCACUUAAAGUUGCUAGCUUCUGUGUGGCUGCCUGCAAAAUUCAGAAGAGAUGCACUGAUCAGUCAACAUAUUAAUAUGUUAAUGUGUUAGUUCUCUGGUUCUGUCGAUAACUUGUUAAUAAUACCAAUAAACAGGUCGCUGACAUAUUGAUUUUUCUUGA